UGGUGCCCUUCGCAUACACAUGCAGUCGAGCGAUGACGAGAGAGCUUGCUCUUUGAUUCAGCGGCGGACGGGUGAGUAAUGCCUAGGAAUCUGCCUGGUAGUGGGGGACAACGUUUCGAAAGGAACGCUAAUACCGCAUACGUCCUACGGGAGAAAGCAGGGGACCUUCGGGCCUUGCGCUAUCAGAUGAGCCUAGGUCGGAUUAGCUAGUUGGUGGGGGAGUGGCUCACCCAGGCGACGAUCCGUAACUGGUCUGAGAGGAUGAUCAGUCACACUGGAACUGACACACGGUCCAGACUCAUACGGAAGGCAGCAGUGGGGAAUAUUGAACAAUGGGCGAAAGCCUGAUCCAGCCAUGCCGCGUGUGUGAGGAAGGUCUUCGGAUUGUAAAUCACUUUAAGUUGGGAGGAAGGACAGUAAGUUAAUACCUUGCUGUUUUGACGUUACCGACAGAAUAAGCACCGGCUAACUCUGUGCCAGCACCCGCGGUAAUACAGAGGGAGCGAGCGUUAAUCUGAAUUACUGUGCGUAAAGCGCGCGUAGGUGGGUGGUUAAGUUGGAUGUGAAAGCCCCGGCCCUCAACCUGGGAACUGCAUCCAAAACUGGCAAGCUAAAGUAGGGUAGAGGGGGGGGUAUUUUCUGUGUAGCGCGAAUGAGUAGAUAUAAGAAGGAGAACCAGUGCGAGCUGACCGCCUCGAUUGAUACUGACGACUGAGUUGCGAAGGCGUGGGUGAGCAAACUAGAAUUAGAUACCCCGGCUAGUCCACGCCGCAAAGAAGUAACUAGUCGUUUGGAUCCUUCAUAAUUUUAUGCCCGCCACUAACGUCAUUAAGUUGACCGCCUGGGGAGUACGACCGCAGAUUAAUAACUCAAAUUGAAUUAGCCGGCGGCCCGCACCAAGCGGUGGACCAUGUGGUUAAUUUAGUAGCAAGCGGAAGGAAGCAUCACUCA
rnacentral:rRNA from 1 species